AUUGAACGCUGGCGGCAUGCUUUACACAUGCAAGUCGAACGGUAACAGGUUAAGCUGACGAGUGGCGAACGGGUGAGUAAUGCAUCGGAACGUGCCCGAUCGUGGGGGAUAACGCAGCGAAAGCUGCGCUAAUACCGCAUACGAUCUGAGGAUGAAAGCGGGGGACCGUAAGGCCUCGCGCGAUCGGAGCGGCCGAUGUCAGAUUAGGUAGUUGGUGGGGUAAAGGCUCACCAAGCCGACGAUCUGUAGCUGGUCUGAGAGGACGACCAGCCAAACUGGGACUGAGACACGGCGCAGACUCCUACGGGAGGCAGCAGUGGGGAAUUUUGGACAAUGGGCGCAAGCCUGAUCCAGCAAUGCCGCGUGCAGGAAGAAGGCCUUCGGGUUGUAAACUGCUUUUGUACGGAGCGAAAAGGCUCUCUCUAAUACAGGGGGUUCAUGACGGUACCGUAAGAAUAAGCACCGGCUAACUACGUGCCAGCAGCCGCGGUAA
rnacentral:rRNA from 1 species